rnacentral:rRNA from 1 species
AACGCGAAGAACCUUACCAGGGCUUGACAUCCUCUGACCGGCGGUGAAAGCCGCAAUUCCCCGCAAGGGGACAGAGAGACAGGUGCUGCAUGGCUGUCGUCAGCUCGUGUCGUGAGAUGUAGUGGUUAAGUCCCGCAACGAGCGCAACCCUCACCCAAUGUUGCCAGCAUGCCGGGCCCUAUCAGCAAUGGUGGGGUAGGUGAUGGGAACUCUUUGGGAACUGCCCGUGUGAGCGGGAGGAAGGCGGGGAUGACGUCAAGUCAGCAUGGCCCUUACGUCCUGGGCUACACACAUGCUACAAUGGGUGCUACAAAGGGACGCGAAGCCGCAAGGUGAAGCAAAUCUACAAAAAAGCAUCCUCAGUACAGAUUGUGGUCUGCAACUCGACCACAUGAAGGCGGAAUCGCUAGUAACCGUCGAUCAGCAAUGCGACGGUGAAUACGUUCCCGGGCCUUGUACACACCGACUGUAC